rnacentral:rRNA from 1 species
AGCAGCCGCGGUAAUACCGAGGGUGCAAGCGUUAAUCGGAAUUACUGGGCGUAAAGCGUGCGUAGGCGGUUUAUUAAGUCAGAUGUGAAAGCCCCGGGCUUAACCUGGGAACUGCAUUUGAAACUGGUCAACUAGAGUAUGGUAGAGGAAAGUGGAAUUUCUGGUGUAGCGGUGAAAUGCGUAGAUAUCAGAAGGAACAUCAAUGGCGAAGGCAGCUUUCUGGACCAAUACUGACGCUGAGGUACGAAAGCGUGGGUAGCAAACAGGAUUAGAUACCCUGGUAGUCCACGCCGUAAACGAUGAUAACUAGCCGUUGGGGGGAUUUACCCUUUAGUGGCGAAGCUAACGCGUUAAGUUAUCCGCCUGGGGAGUACGGCCGCAAGGCUAAAACUCAAAGGAAUUGACGGGGACCCGCACAAGCGGUGGAGCAUGUGGUUUAAUUCGAUGCAACGCGAAGAACCUUACCUGGUCUUGACAUCCUGCGAACUUUCUAGAAAUAGAUUGGUGCCUUCGGGAACGCAGUGACAGGUGCUGCAUGGCUGUCGUCAGCUCGUGUCGUGAGAUGUUGGGUUAAGUCCCGUAACGAGCGCAACCCCUAUCCUUAUUUGCCAGCACGUCAUGGUGGGAACUAUAAGGAGACUGCCGGUGAUAAACCGGAGGAAGGCGGGGACGACGUCAAGUCAUCAUGGCCCUUACGACCAGGGCUACACACGUGCUACAAUGGGAAGGACAAAGAGCCGCGAAGCCGCGAGGUGUAGCUAAUCUCAGAAACCUUUUCGUAGUCCGGAUUGGAGUCUGC